rnacentral:rRNA from 1 species
UGAGGAAUAUUGGUCAAUGGGCGCAGGCCUGAACCAGCCAAGUCGCGUGAGGGAGGACGGUCCUACGGAUUGUAAACCUCUUUUGUCGGGGAGUAACGUGCGGGACGCGUCCCGUAUUGAGAGUACCCGAAGAAAAAGCAUCGGCUAACUCCGUGCCAGCAGCCGCGGUAAUACGGAGGAUGCGAGCGUUAUCCGGAUUUAUUGGGUUUAAAGGGUGCGCAGGCGGCGCGCCAAGUCAGCGGUCAAAGUUCCGGGCUCAACCCGGUGUCGCCGUUGAAACUGGCGUGCUCGAGUGCGUGCGAGGAAGGCGGAAUGCGUUGUGUAGCGGUGAAAUGCAUAGAUAUGACGCAGAACUCCGAUUGCGAAGGCAGCUUUCCAGCGCGCUACUGACGCUGAGGCACGAAAGCGUGGGGAUCGAACAGGA